rnacentral:tRNA from 3 species
CGAGGUGUAACUCAGUUUGGUAGAGUGCUUGGUUUGGGACCAAGAUGCCGCAGGUUCAACUCCUGUCACCUCGACCA